AAACGCAAACCGCCAAUCUAAUUUGAAUUUGAAAGAGCCAUCUUCGCCGCGCCGUUAAUUUGCACCGCACUUUUAUCGAGUGCUAGUGCGAUAAAGAAGGGUAAAGAAGGCCGUUUUAAUAAUAAUUCAACCACUGAAAUCACACGGACCAGAUUUGGACAAUGACUUGAAAGCUAAGACAUUCGCAGUAGGCUCUACAGGAGAGAGGGAGACCCAAAACCACCUGGAGUCAUACUGAGCCUCGAGGAGGAGAUGAAGUCAGUGAACAUGACCUGGGGUACCGGUAGUUUCCAGAAGAAGGCCCAGCUCAGAACCGCCAGGACUCAGGAGUGGAGAUCCGAAUACUUCGUUGCUGCCCUCCAUAUGAGGAGGCUGUAAGUUAGGUAAUUCAGAUGUCAAGUUUUCUUUUGGGGUCUUUGUGUAUCUUCUAUUAUGAGAAUUAUGGAAAAGAGAUGGUGAUUUAAUGGUUUUAAAGAUGUAAAAUAUGAAAUUCUAGCACUUUUUUUAGGCCUAAUAUGAGUUCGGACACCCUACUUAUAAUUUUUUUUUGAGGAGCGCGAUAUUUUUGUACAUGACCCAAGCCUAGUUUCACCACAGAUUAAUUAAUAGCUACACAGCUGUUGCAUUUACAAUUUUAAUAACAAUCUACAACAAUUGAGCAUUUUAUAAAAUUGAGUGUGUCUAGGAAAGCAAAUUCGGAGGCAUAAGGAGAGCCAUUUAUUGAGCUCCAUGGAAUUAUAAACAUGAAGGACUGAUCUCUGCGACAUCGAUUUCAGAAGUAUUCCCAAGACCAAGUGAACUUACUCAUUUUUGUCUCACCUGCAUAGCAGAGUGAGACUAUAGGCGCCGCUUUUCCGACGGCGACGGCGGCGGCGGCGUCAACACCAAAUCUUAACCUGAGGUUAAGUUUUUGAAAUGACAGCAUAACUUAGAAAGUAUAUGGACCUAGUUCAUGAAACUUGGCCAUAAGGUUAAUCAAGUAUUACUGAACAUCCUGCCUGAGUUUCAUGUCACAUGACCAAGGUCAAAGGUCAUUUAGGGUCAAUGAACUUAGACCAUGUUGGGGGAAUCAACAUCAAAAUCUUAACCUAAGGUUAAGUUUUUGAAAUUUCAUCAUAACUUAGAAAAUAUAUGGACCUAGUUCAUGAAACUUAUACAUAAGGUUAAUCAAGUAUCACUGAACAUCCUGCUUGAGUUUCACAUCACAUGACCAAGGUCAAAGGUCAUUUAGGGUCAAUGAACUUUGGCCGAAUUGGGGGUAUCUGUUGAAUUACCAUCAUAACUUUGAAAGUUUAUGGAUCUGAUUCAUGAAACUUGGACAUAAUAGUAAUCAAGUAUUACUGAACAUCCUGUGCAAGUUUCAGGUCACAUGAUCAAGGUCAAAGGUCAUUUAGGGUCAAUGAACUUUGGCCAAAUUGGGGUAUUUGUUGAAUUACAGCCAUAAAUUUGAAAGUGUGUUGGUCUAGUUCAUAAAACUUGGACAUAAUAGUAAUCAAGUAUUACUGAACAUCCUGUGCGAGUUUCAGGUCACAUGAUCAAGGUCAAAGGUCAUGUAAGGUCAAAGAACUUUGGCCACGUUGGGGGUAUUUGUUGAAUUGCCAUCAUAUCUCUAUAAGUGUAUUGGUCUAGUUCAUAAAACGUGGAAAUAAGAGUAACCAAGUAUCACUGAACAUCUUGUGCGAGUUAUAGUAGUUUUCAAAAUCAGCACUGCUGCUAUAUUGAAUCGCGUGAUGCAGGUGAGACGGCCAGAGGCAUUCCACUUGUUUAAAUAAAUAUGAUGAUGUGCUGUUUAUCAUUAUAGUUGAAUCAUUGAUUCACAAUCCCAUGUAUUUUUCUUAAUGUGCAAAUGGAAUUUUACAACACUCUGUAGUAACCCUUGCCCGCCUUAGGUGUAGACAUGUAUUGCUAUUCACUGUAAUAUAGACGCAUUUUUAUUCACUGUUCACUGUACUGAUUAUUUUUCUCUCCAUUGUAUUAAAAAAAUUAUUCAGAUACAUCGCAUCUACCAGCAAAGAACGUGUGCCAGUACAGGGAAGGAAUGUACCUGUCGCACGUGAACUCUUCAGAGGCAGUGAGGACAACAAGAUCUGCAAGCAAGUGAUCCUUUUUAUACAUCGCAUCUACCAGCAAAGAAUGUGUGCCAGUAGAGGAAAGGAAUGUACCUGUCGCACGUGAACUCUUCAGAGGCAGUGAGGACAAGAUCUGCAAGCAAGUGAUCCUUUUUAUACAUCGCAUCUACCAGCAAAGAUCAAGUGCCACUACAGGAAAGGAAGGUACCUGUUUCACGUUUCCUCUUCAGAGCCAGUGAGGGCCCCAAGAUCUCAAUAAAUAAUAAUUAAAAAAAGACUCCUUUAUCAUUCCUUUAAAAAUAGUACAUAUUAUUUAUUGAAGGUAAAUGCUUAGAUGCAUUAUAUUCAAAUUUUGUCUCCAAGCUAGCAUGUAAAAAUUGGAUUGACUACAUAUUUACUGUGUAAGUUAAUGAUCUUUGUUGACACAUAAUACAAGAAUUAUACACAGCAUGUUACAGUUUGUAACAUAAUUUUCUUUCAUUAAAUUCCUAGUUUAAAUACCAUAUA